ACGGAUCAACAACAACAUUUAUCUUUAACGACUGCUCACAGGGACGCUAAAAGGUCCGAGGAAGUGACAAACAACAGGCCUUUUAUCCGCGUACGCUCAGGUUAGACGUUCGGCUACUUGUCUUGCUUAUCCGGUCCCUAAGAGAAGAAGAGAGAAGCAAACUUAGGUUCACGGAAGGUUUGGAGCUGCAAAAGGCAGUGCCAAGGACUGGUGUAAGAGAGCUGAGGCAUUAGGUUCUUCUUGCAACCUGGGUUUUUUAACGCACCUCCCUAUUAGAUUUCCCUCUAAGAACCUCGGUUCUCGUACUCGUCCAGAGGCCGGGGCCUACCGCCGCCGCCGCCGCCGCCGUUAGCGAACGGCGGUCACUUUGGCAGCCACAGCGACAGUGGCAGCGGCUGCCCGGGAGGCCUCUCGCUGUAGUCGGUGUACGGCCUGAGGGGGCGCGCGUCGGAGCCGGUGGCGGCGCGCGUGAGGCUCUAGUAGCCGGAGGGGCUGCUGGUGCUGGAGCUGGAGGGCCCGACGCGUCCCCUGCCCGGCAGCGACAGCCUGCUCUUGCUCCUCCUCGAGAAGAGGUACAAGGAGCUGCGGCUCUUCGAGUUGCGCGUCGACGCGCUCCGCAGCCUCUGCCUCAGCAGCACGCGGAGCCGCCCGCGGCCACGCCCCGGCUCCGGCGCGGUAGUGGUGUCGGUAAGGUACCUGCGCAGCUCGAGAAAGCUGCGCCUCGUCGACGAACCCUGCGGCCGCCACCUCCCCUACAGCUGCCACCUCCGGUUCUUCCGUUACAGGUUGCGUUUCGAGCGUCUUGAUCGCGAACAGCUGGGUUUCUUCCGUUUUUCCUAAACCCGAUUAUCUGUUAGCCGCCGGUCUAGCUUUCUUUCCUUCUACGCCAUAUAAAGACUUGAACUUGCCUUCCACGUUUGGGACGUACGUCUUCGUUGUUGUAACAGUUGGGUCGACCGUGAAGAUGUAUCUCUGUGACGGCCCGAGAGAUGGUUCUUGUCGCUUGACUUCUACGCGGACGUUUUGCACGUCGUUGUUUAGGUGAAUGUUCUACGAGACUUACUGCGUGACUUUAGACUCGACGUUUCCGACUUCUACCGCUGCUCGGUGUACCCGUUGUGGCAACCCCCUUACUACUUGAACUAGCCGGGUGGGGGCGGCGUGAGCCAACCUCCCUUGGUCGGUUACAAGGUGUAAGUCCCGGUCCGACGUUACGUCGGUGACGUGGUCUACGUCGUCUAAGUGGGAGUCGUGGUCGUCGGCAACGACGUAGGCGACGUUGACGUUCGUGUCGUCGACGACAACGUCGUCGUCCGAAGACGACGUGGUGGUGGGUUGGGCUUCUACUUUGCCCGGUAGAGGCGAGGCUUGGUCACCUAACCACCCACCAGGCUCUCGUCACCGUUGACUAGCUCUAGGACAGACCUUAUGUCCUUAAAGUGUCCCUAUGGCAGUUUGCUUUUAGGGGUGGCCCGUUUUAAGUACGAUAGACAGUCUCGGCCCACCUAAGUCCCCCAAGACCCCGUAGUGGGUUCACAUCUAACUAGUGGUCGUUCAUAUAUCGGAUAUAUAUCCCAAGUUCCGACGAGUUCAAUGCCAGUCAACAGCUCAGAAGGAAGAGUUCUUUCUCAAUGCAAGAAUACCCCAGAUGUCCACGUCUACAAACAACUUCCUUUUACAAUGGUUGAGUGCGUCUAAGAAGCCUAAGUUUUGAAGACCCCAGAUGUCCACGCCUACAAACAACUUCCUUUUACCAUGGUUGAGUACGUCUAAGAAGCCCAAACAGCUAUGCGACAGUUAGACUAAUUCUUCGACCAAAUGUUUCCUUCUACGACGAGGUAAAGAAUUAGAGCACGCGACCGGAAACAUACAUGUCUAACAAAAGAAACAAAACCAGACCCCGGAAAAGUAGCACCUAAGUACCAGUGAAAACCACUGACCGUUCAAACUUACAGGAGAGACGCAAGAAGCUUAUGUUUUACUACGCAUAAAUCGUCGUAUAAGUAUCUUCUUUGUUUCCGUUAGACAGUUCACAUUAAAUGUUAUCACAAAAAGUUUUCUGA
rnacentral:rRNA from 1 species